UGAGGAAUAUUGGUCAAUGGGCGAGAGCCUGAACCAGCCAAGUAGCGUGCAGGAUGACGGCCCUAUGGGUUGUAAACUGCUUUUAUAUGGGAAUAAAGUGAGGGACGUGUCCCUUAUUGCAUGUACCAUACGAAUAAGGACCGGCUAAUUCCGUGCCAGCAGCCGCGGUAAUACGGAAGGUUCGGGCGUUAUCCGGAUUUAUUGGGUUUAAAGGGAGCGUAGGCCGUUUGGUAAGCGUGUUGUGAAAUGUAGGAGCUCAACUUCUAGAUUGCAGCGCGAACUGUCAGACUUGAGUGCGCACAACGUAGGCGGAAUUCAUGGUGUAGCGGUGAAAUGCUUAGAUAUCAUGAAGAACUCCGAUUGCGAAGGCAGCUUACGGGAGCGCAACUGACGCUGAAGCUCGAAGGUGCGGGUAUCGAACAGG
rnacentral:rRNA from 1 species